GGAGAGGUGGCAGAGAGGUCGAAUGCGCCGCACUCGAAAUGCGGUAUACCGGCAACGGUAUCGAGGGUUCGAAUCCCUCCCUCUCCGCCA
rnacentral:tRNA from 2 species